UUACAACCAGUAUGUGUUUGGGAGACGGAGACUUCUGCUACUUUGCUAAGCAUUGAGCUUUAAUUCAAUCUUAAAAGGUAGACGCCACAGAAAGUGUCCUGUGCACUGCUUCAGCCCUUUGACCAGGAGCCACCGCUGGCACGGCAGAGCCCAGUGGACAGGAGGAGAGGGAGGGAUCUGAAGAGGAGUGCCCGGACCGAUCGUCUACAGCACCGGCUUGCAGCAUGGGUGAAGAAGGGCCUCCCAGUCUGGAGUACAUCAAGGCCAAGGACCUGUUCCCCCAGAAGGAGCUGGUGAAGGAGGAUGAAAGCCUU